GAUGAACGCUGGCGGCGUGCCUAAUACAUGCAAGUCGAGCGAACAGAUAAGGAGCUUGCUCCUUUGACGUUAGCGGCGGACGGGUGAGUAACACGUGGGUAACCUACCUAUAAGACUGGGAUAACUUCGGGAAACCGGAGCUAAUACCGGAUAAUAUUUCGAACCGCAUGGUUCGAUAGUGAAAGAUGGUUUUGCUGUCACUUUUAGAUGGACCCGCGCCGUAUUAGCUAGUUGGUAAGGUAACGGCUUACCAAGGCGACGAUACGUAGCCGACCUGAGAGGGUGAUCGGCCACACUGGAACUGAGACACGGUCCAGACUCCUACGGGAGGCAGCAGUAGGGAAUCUUCCGCAAUGGGCGAAAGCCUGACGGAGCAACGCCGCGUGAGUGAUGAAGGUCUUCGGAUCGUAAAACUCUGUUAUUAGGGAAGAACAUACGUGUAAGUAACUGUGCACGUCUUGACGGUACCUAAUCAGAAAGCCACGGCUAACUACGUG
rnacentral:rRNA from 1 species